UCACACCAUGAGAGUUGGAGAUACCCGAAGCCUAUGAGCUAACUUUUAGAGGCAGUAGUCGAAGGUAGAAUCAAUGAUUGGGGUGAAGUCGUAACAAGGUAUC
rnacentral:rRNA from 1 species